rnacentral:rRNA from 1 species
CGAGCACGCGCGUGUGGCAUAUCAAUAAGCGGAGGAAAAGAAACUAACAAGGAUUCCCUUAGUAACGGCGAGUGAAGCGGGAAGAGCUCAAAUUUGAAAUCUUCAAGGUUCUACCUUGACGAAUUGUAGUUUAUAGAAGUGUUUUCUGUUAGUAGAGUGGCAAAAGUUCUUUGGAAUAGGACAUCAUAGAGGGUGAGAAUCCCGUAUUUGGUCAUUCUUUCUAGCUUUGUGAUACACUUUCAAAGAGUCGGAUUGUUUGGGAAUGCAGUCCAAAAUGGGUGGUAAGUUUCAUCUAAAGCUAAAUAUUGGCGAGAGACCGAUAGCGAACAAGUACCGUGAGGGAAAGAUGAAAAGAACUUUGAAAAGAGAGUUAAACAGUACGUGAAAUUGUCAAAAGGGAAGCGUUUGACACCAGUGUUGUUUAGUUGAAAAUCAAUUAAAUAUUUUUCGAUUUUAAGUAGUAUUGACCUUAUCAGCUUGCUGCUUUUUCUCGGAAAUUAUUUAAUGCACUUUUCAGUUAACAAGUCAACAUCAAUUUCUUUUGUUGUAAAAAGGUAAGAGGAAGGUGGCUUGCGCUUCGGCUCAAGUGUUUAUAGCCUUUUACCCCUGCAAUCGGAGAGAUUGAGGUCUGUAGCGUAGAUCCUUCGGGGUUAGAUACAUUUGUGCUAAGCUAUAGCCUUGUAGUAGACAACUUGUUGACUAUGCUCAGUCAUGUAGCUUACUCGCAGUAUGCUAUUUUACCUACGCUUAGGAUGUUGAUGUGAUACUGCGAGCA